GCAGUCGAGGGGUAUUGUUCUUCGGAAUGAGAGACCGGCGCACGGGUGCGUAACGCGUAUGCAAUCUACCUUUCACAGAGGGAUAGCCCAGAGAAAUUUGGAUUAAUACCUCAUAGCAUUAUGAAAUGGCAUCAUUUUAUAAUUAAAGUCACAACGGUGAAAGAUGAGCAUGCGUCCCAUUAGCUAGUUGGUAAGGUAACGGCUUACCAAGGCUACGAUGGGUAGGGGUCCUGAGAGGGAGAUCCCCCACACUGGUACUGAGACACGGACCAGACUCCUACGGGAGGCAGCAGUGAGGAAUAUUGGUCAAUGGGCGCAAGCCUGAACCAGCCAUGCCGCGUGCAGGAUGACGGUCCUAUGGAUUGUAAACUGCUUUUGUACGGGAGGAAACAGCGAUUCGUGAAUCGCCUUGACGGUACCGUAAGAAUAAGGAUCGGCUAACUCCGUGCCAGCAGCCGCGGUAAUACGGAGGAUCCAAGCGUUAUCCGGAAUCAUUGGGUUUAAAGGGUCCGUAGGCGGUUUGGUAAGUCAGUGGUGAAAGCCCAUCGCUCAACGGUGGAACGGCCAUUGAUACUGCCAGACUUGAAUUAUUGGGAAGUAACUAGAAUAUGUAGUGUAGCGGUGAAAUGCUUAGAGAUUACAUGGAAUACCAAUUGCGAAGGCAGGUUACUACCAAUGGAUUGACGCUGAUGGACGAAAGCGUGGGUAGCGAACAGGAUUAGAUACCCUGGUAGUCCACGCCGUANACGAUGGAUACUAGCUGUUGGGAGCGAUCUCAGUGGCUAAGCGAAAGUGAUAAGUAUCCCACCUGGGGAGUACGUUCGCAAGAAU
rnacentral:rRNA from 1 species